ACAGGACUGCGUCUCUCACCACCACAGCCAGGCAGCUGCUCUUCUAGCUUCUGAUUAUCAUCCCCAAGCCAUGCCUUGGUCAUUUCUGAGUUGAACAAAAUCAUGGAAGAUGUGACUGUCAAGUGGAGACAUCGAGCCUUUCUGCUGCCCUCAGCAUCUCCCAGCAGCCUCUCUGGUUCAAGACUUUCUUUGUCUCUAGAAGUUGCUCCAGGAUCCCAGACUGUAUUGCUAAGCCAUAGGAAGAGAGAGGAGAAAUGUUAGGAUGGGAGAGUCGCAUCAACAUUCUCAAAAGAAUUCCAUGAUGACAUCAGUACCCAUCCUCAACUGCAAUGAAACUGUGUGUCUCUCCCAAGGAGAUAAACAGGAGGGGAACAUUAGAAACAGAUGCUGCCUGUGGCUGCCUUUUCAUAAUACUCCAUGCCAACGAUUUGCACUUCUGUCGUCCCUUUCAUCUGGGAACCACAAGGCCAUCUGAAACUUCUCUGAUCAGCUUCAGAGGAGUCCCCUCUAUCAGCCUUGCGGACCUUGGAGUUUCCACACUGACCAUCUCUCCCCAGGAUCAUCUCUGCUUUCAUGGCAAAUCCAGGCUGAAUAUUUUUGUCUCUUUAACUUGAAUAGAAAUAUGAUGAUGGAGUGUACUGGCUAGUUUUGUGUCAACUUGACACAGCUGGAGUUAUCACAGAGAAAGGUGCUCCAAUUGAGGAAAUGCCUCCAUGAGAUCCAACUGUAAGGCAUUUUCUCAAUUAGUGAUCAAGGAGGAAAGGCCCCUUAUAGGUGGGACCAUCUCUGGGCUAGUAGUCUUGGGUUCUAUAAGAGAGCAGGCUGAGCAAGCCAGGGGAGGCAAGCCAGUAAUAAACAUCCCUCCAUGGCCUCUGCAUCAGCUCCUGCUUUCUGACCUGCUUGACUUCCAGUCCUGACUUCCUUGGUGAUGAACAGCAGUAUGGAAGUAUAAGCCGAAUAAACCCUUUCCUCCCCA
rnacentral:lncRNA from 1 species